rnacentral:rRNA from 1 species
CUCGCGAGAGCAAAGCGGGGGACCUUCGGGCCUUGCGCUACCGGAUAUGCCCAGGUGGGAUUAGCUAGUUGGUGAGGUAAGGGCUCACCAAGGCGACGAUCCCUAGCUGGUCUGAGAGGAUGAUCAGCCACACUGGAACUGAGACACGGUCCAGACUCCUACGGGAGGCAGCAGUGGGGAAUAUUGCACAAUGGGCGCAAGCCUGAUGCAGCCAUGCCGCGUGUAUGAAGAAGGCCUUCGG